AGGGAUAAACAAAGGGACUAGGAUCUUUCACUGUUUCUUAUCAAGUGAAAGCAUCUUAAAUUCUAAUUUCAGUUUUCACAAUACUUUCCCGUUUUCUGAGUAGCCUGCGGAUUGCUCUUCUUUCCAUACAUUUUCACUCCUAUGAUUUUAGGUUUUUCUUUCCCAUUUGAUAAUAGUCUAUCCUUAUUGUUUGUUUCAUCUCCUCCUCCUCAUUAUCUUAACCACUUCUUAUCAAGGCCUCCUUCUAGACAGGGUUUUAGGCCCUAUCAGUGUGGCUUGUACUAGACCUACAACGACCUACAAGUUUUACAGAUAGGAAACUGAAGCUAAGGUAGAGGGUUAGGCCAGAUAAUGGCUCCCAAAGAUGUCCACACUAAUCUCCAGAACCUGGAAAUAUGUUUUACCUUAUAUAGCCAAAAGGACUUUGCAGCCGUAAGUACGAUUUAGACCUGAGAGGGGGGAGAUUGUUUGGGGGUUAUCUGGGUGGGUCCAAUCUAAUCACAUGACUCCUUAGAUGCAAAACCUUUCCUGCCUGGGUUACAGAGAAAUUUGACAAAGAGGAAAGUCACCGGCUUCAGAGUCAAAGAAGAGACUACAAGGAAAAAAUGCGAUCCCAGGAGCUGGGAAAGAGAAGGAAACAGAGUCUUCUCUAGGGCUUCCAGUAUGAACACAGCCUUGUCAACAAUUUAAUUUUAGCCUGGGUCUCGCCAGAGACCAGAGCUGCAAGCCUUCAUCUUUUGUCUUAAAUAUCUCGCACGAUGUACACUUCUUGAGAGAAUCCAGUUUAUAAAUGAUAGUAGAAAAAUACACAUAGUUGACAUGACCCUGCUGUAGUACUCCAUCAACAAUGAGUUUGAAAAGCAAGAGAUGAAAAUUGAAAAACGCAAAACAAAGAUUUGUAAAUAUUGACGAAACAAAGGACACUUUAGGAAGGAUUCCAAGAACUCCCUGUACUUUCAAUACCUUCACUUUGGAGUUACCUUCAAAGAGGCUAAGAUUGUAGCUGAAAACGGUCCAGCUUCUCCCACACCUUGAGAGACUGCGUUGCUGUAAGGUAACCUUCAGGACGGAAAACAGCAGCGGGGGUGUGGGAUGGGGAAAGUGGUUGGAUGGCUGAAAGUAUUGUAACACAGUACUGAACUUCUUGUUUUGCACAAAUGUUUAUGGAAUAAAGUGUCUUCUUUU